UAGUGCGUUUUUGAGCACGAUUUGUGUUU
rnacentral:sRNA from 1 species